GAUGAACGCUGGCGGCGUGCCUAAUACAUGCAAGUCGAGCGAACAGACGAGGAGCUUGCUCCUCUGACGUUAGCGGCGGACGGGUGAGUAACACGUGGAUAACCUACCUAUAAGACUGGGAUAACUUCGGGAAACCGGAGCUAAUACCGGAUAACAUGUUGAACCGCAUGGUUCAACAGUGAAAGACGGUUUUGCUGUCACUUAUAGAUGGAUCCGCGUCGCAUUAGCUAGUUGGUAAGGUAUCGGCUUACCAAGGCAACGAUGCGUAGCCGACCUGAGAGGGUGAUCGGCCACACUGGAACUGAGACACGGUCCAGACUCCUACGGGAGGCAGCAGUAGGGAAUCUUCCGCAAUGGGCGAAAGCCUGACGGAGCAACGCCGCGUGAGUGAAGAAGGUCUUCGGAUCGUAAAACUCUGUUAUUAGGGAAGAACAAAUGUGUAAGUAACUAUGCACGUCUUGACGGUACCUAAUCAGAAAGCCACGGCUAACUACGUG
rnacentral:rRNA from 1 species